rnacentral:miRNA from 1 species
GUUUCCAGAGUCGAGCAGGAAACCCUGGGCACGUUGCGUCGUGUCUUAACGCGCAAUACCCAAGGUUUCCCGUUUCUCGGAUGC